AAAAAAAACCGCGCGCACGCGAGUUUAAAUUCGUUAAUUAAAAUGUACAAAUGCAAAUAAUAAAGUUAAGUAAAAGUCAGAGCACAUAGAUGAUUAGAUUAUCUAGAUGAAUCGGAGCGCUUUAAUUAUUAACGGCUUGAUAAAUUUAUUAAAUUUAAUUAAUCAAUAUAUAAAUAUUAAUCGAAUCUGUAAUCCUAUGAAUAUCUGGGUGUCUGUAGCAUAUAUCUAUCGUACUGCGUACAGAUGCGUCACAGAAUUCAGAAUCGAUUUUUCCUAAAUACGUGUACGAUGCGCAUGGCACGUUUAACGAGGUUAAACGCAUAACGCUAAUUAUGCGGUGAGAAGUGGCGCGCGAUAACGUUCGCGGUUAUCUACGUUUAAUUUCCUUGACUUUUCACCGCUGUGAUGUCCGCACAAAGAGAGGGAUUGCUUAUGCCAUGUAAUUUAUAAUGCGUAAACGCAGACGCAGAGUAAAUCACAGUCGCCAACAAAAUUUUUUACUUAUUUUUUUUUUUCCACGAAGUAGUAGUAGCUAUUGAUUAGAUGUUGAUGACAUUCCUUUUUCUCGUACAUGCACAGGAAACAGUCAUGUGUAUAUAAAUUUUAUUCGAAAUAUUUUAUAUUUUAUAAAACAUUUGUUAUCAUUUUGUUUCCUCAAGUCUCCAUAGAUCAUAUAAAAUAUUUUGAGAAUUUGAUAUCAUUUGUUAUAGUUUUUAAUAUCUGUUUGUACUUUAAUCAUCAAAAUCUAAGCUUUAAUCGUAAAGAUCUAGCAUAUUAUUAUUUUAUAAUUUUAUAACAUUUUUUUAUUAUUUCAAACUCUAAAUGCAGGUCUUGAAAAUAAGUCUUGGAAAUAUUGGCUUUUAACUGUAAACAAUGCAUUACUAAAACCAGUUUAUAUAAUACUGUGUUCUUCCUUGAAUUAUUAACUUUCUGAGAAAGGAAUGCAAACACACUUUGCUCUAUAAAGAAACCAUUCGUCUUACAGAUGAAACCGAGCGUAAAUAAGAUAACGACGCGCAUUAUCGCCUGUUGUCAAUAGGUGAAGUCGCUAUGCGUUAUUAAGGCCUUAUCUGUAUUGCCAUUAACGUAUACGAUUAUAAAAAAUAUACGUUUGUAAUAUUCUGCAACGGAAGAGAUAUCUUAAAUUGCAUUCGCAUCUUUUAAAUGUCGUACUUUUUGUCAACAUUGAUAACAAAAUAAUGUGGUGAAAAAAAUAAAUUUUUUUUAUUUUGCAUCAAAUAUAUUCUCUAUAAAAUAUUCACUUAGAAUAAGAUGGUUUUUUUUUCUCUUAUGUGUAAACUUUAGAUCGUCUCGAGCAUUCGUACUCGCUCAAGUCGACGUAAUUAAUCAAUCGGUGGACCGAGUGUUUCUUAGUCACGGGUUCUUCCAAAUUCAGCGAUCGGAAUCAGUGUAACGAUUCCGUUUCCCUCUUGACGCUUCUCUCUCCUCACAUCUCGCAAUCCUCCUCUCCUCAUCUUCUCCGAACACGUCCUCUUGCUCCGCGUCGUUACGUCGAACGUGGUGAGAACGUGGUAGCGACGCACUGUCCGUUACUAUUAUUAGUGUGCAGCUGCCUGCGAAUUACUGAAUGAAAACGGAGGACCGCCUCGGAACAAUGUCCGAGAGAAAGAGAAAGAGAGAAGUGGGCUCUCUCCGCGCGCGAGAGCGAAUGGUAUUGUUAAACAACAGGCAAUGAUCGUAAUCGGAGCCGAAUUGCUUCGUUUCGCGCGCGAUAAAUGUUAGAGAGAUUAAUUGGCCCCCGCAGCUUCUUCUUCCGACUUUUUGUAUAUCAUCAAAUUUAAGAAAUUCAUUUUUAUCGCGAAUAUAAGAAAAAGAAAAAAAAUAAUUUUCAAAAUUAAUUUUAAUUAAUUCUGAACAUUAUUAUCCGACAUUUUUUACUCCAAUGUUUUAAUAUUUUGGGUUGAACAUUUCGAAUGGUUUUUCACAAAAUUAACAUGACAAGUCUAUUCGGUUCGGGAUGACUUCUUAAUUCUUUCCAAAAGUUUUUCCAUUCAAGAUAUUUUUUCAGGUAUAUCAACGUAACUUUUAGAGGAUUACCUAUUUGUACGCAUCACAGGAUGCUACCGCAAACAUUAUCUAUAUAAUGGGGUUUUGUAUUAUUUAUAUAUUAUUUAUAGUAAUGAGACAAAUUACUCUAUUUGUAGUUUUCAUCUUAUCAUUAUGAAAAUCAUCAUUUUUUUCUUAUAUAAUCUAUUUUCUAAUAUCUUUGAAAAGAUACGUCUAAAGGCUUAUGUGAUAUCCUACAUUUCAACGUUUACUCAGGUUUUCUUUAACUGCAAGAGCUGAGAUACAAAGGGUUGUAAUCAGUUUUUUUCAUAUUGGUCCAAAGAUCGGUUUCGAAAGAAAGAUUGUUACUUCUUACUUUUUACAUCGAAGUAUAACACAUCUCUUUUCGAGGAAAUUAAUAAACUUUUUUUUUCCUAGGUCCAUGCAGCCCAGAGUUUUUACCUUUCGGGCGGAGAUAUUUUCUGAAAAUCAGACCAAAACUGGAAAAAUAGCGCAACUUUUAUAGAUGAUAUAAAUCUAUUUAUCAUUUAGGUAUACGCAAUAUCGCGCAAUUACGCUGAUUUCUGCGCGCGUAUGUCGAUCUAUACUUGCGGGGGCAUCGCUUCGGGGGCAAGAUGGCCUGCGGAAGAUCAACGAGGCGCGUUGGCUGCGCGGACAAGCACGACGGCUCUGAGGCAACGGCCGAACAAAAAUAGCGAUUUGAAUAUAAGAGAAUCGGCACAGAGGAUGUUGCGGCUAACGAGGAAAAUAAAACGGAGCGAUUUAUCGCUAUCAACGUGUGCAGAAACGAGUAAUAAAGAUGAGAGCAUGUAAGCUGUAAAUAAAUAUUAAAUACUGCGCAUAUUCAUAUACAUAGAAUAGAUAUUCAAUCUUCUAAUAAAGAGAUGCGCGAUAUUAAUUCGUUCUCCUAUAAAAAAGGCCUUUUUUGUUUGACCUACAAUUCUAUACAUAUCGCUUGGAAAUAAUAUGUGCGAGAGAGAGGAGGGGGACGGGGGGAGAAGAGAAAAAAUUGAAUGAAAUAGCAUAAAUUAAUAAAAAAAUCUAUAAAAUUUAGCAUCAGAGCGUAACUAAAAAUUUUUCUAUGCACCGAUAGUUUAAUCUAUUAAAACGUGAAAAAAUAAAUUUGGAUUUAAUUUUUUCAACUCUAACAGAUUAAUCUUUUCAAGUUUUUGAAAAGCGGAUUAAACUAUUGCAUUGAAUUAUUUUAAUUAUUCUCGAUUGCAUAAAAUUUCAAUUUGUUCUCUUUAUUCAUCCCUAUAUUUUUUUCUCCUUUCUCUAUUUAUGUUUUUUAAAGUAAGAAAAAUGUUUCAUAUGCCAUUCUUUCUCCCAACGGAAUAAUAUCAAUAUAUUCGCUUAUCUCAACGCAUGUUUCAGACGGUCAAAUAUUUUCGUACGAAAUACUACAGUGACGCUUUUCGCCCAUACACUCAUCUACCAUAUAAUCGUAAGCUUAUCGUCAAUUUCAAUUUCAGUAGCGCGCUCAUCUUACGAUUCAUAAAUUUCAAUACAUGUGGGUCCACGUGUACCUGAUCAAAGGCUAUUUAGCUCAGUGUAUAUCUUAACAGUUCGUAGGUGCGUACGAAUGAUGAUCGUUAACGAACAUGCGGGCACCGUGGUGGGAAUUCCACUCAAUUUAAGUGUAAUUGUUUAAUUGAGGAUCUCCUCGCCGAAGCGCUCGUCGCAUAAAUUGGUCGUUUACGGUUACGUUUUCUCGUCGCAUAUUUUCGAGAGCUUUACAACAUAGCACAAAAAUUACGAUAGUAAUUCCAUAUCAUUUGUCGCAAUUUUUCACUUAUUCUUUAUUUUUCUCAUAACAAGGAGCAUAGUAGUGAAAUAUUAAUAAUUAAUCGACUUUUUGACUUCUC